ensembl:snoRNA SNORA22 small nucleolar RNA SNORA22
CUGCACACUGAAGACCCAUGUGUGCUUUAUAGCUCCCUUGGUUUUUAAUCUGUGCUACAGUAAAAUGCGGUCUGUAACCUCUGCAUUGGAGGAGCUGUUUUCUCCUCCAAAUGUAUUCAACAGACUAGUACAUUG